rnacentral:rRNA from 1 species
UUCCCCUAGUAACUGCGAGUGAAGCGGGAAAAGCUCAAAUUUAAAAUCUGGCGGUCUUUGGCCGUCCGUGUUGUAAUCUAGAGAAGUGUUACCCGCGUCGGACCGUGUACAAGUCUCCUGGAAUGGAGCGUCAUAGAGGGUGAGAAUCCCGUCUUUGACACGGACUACCGAGGCUUUGUGGUGCGCUCUCAAAGAGUCGAGUUGUUUGGGAAUGCAGCUCAAAAUGGGUGGUAAAUUCCAUCUAAAGCUAAAUAUUGGCGAGAGACCGAUAGCGAACAAGUACCGUGAGGGAAAGAUGAAAAGAACUUUGGAAAGAGAGUUAAACAGUACGUGAAAUUGCUGAAAGGGAAACGCUUGAAGUCAGUCGCGUCGUCCGGGAAUCAGCCUUCCUUCUGGUUGGUGUACUUCCUGGUCGACGGGCCAGCAUCAGUUUUGACCGGUGGAAAAAGUUCGAGGGAAUGUGGCACCUCCGGGUGUGUUAUAGCCCUCGUUCGUAUACAUCGGUUGGGACUGAGGAACUCAGCACGCCGCAAGGCCGGGAUUCGUCCACGUUCGUGCUUAGGAUGCUGGCAUAAUGGCUUUAAUCGACCCGUCUUGAAACACGGACCAAGGAGUCUAACAUGCCUGCGAGUGUUUGGGUGGAAAACCCGAGCGCGUAAUGAAAGUGAAAGUUGAGAUCCCUGUCAUGGGGAGCAUCGACGCCCGGACCUGACGUUCUCUGACGGUUCUGCGGUAGAGCAUGUAUGUUGGGACCCGAAAGAUGGUGAACUAUGCCUGAAUAGGGUGAAGCCAGAGGAAACUCUGGUGGAGGCUCGUAGCGAUUCUGACGUGCAAAUCGAUCGUCAAAUUUGGGUAUAGGGGGCGAAAGACUAAUCGACCCAUCUAGUAGCUGGGUUCCUGCGA